rnacentral:rRNA from 1 species
AUACGGAGGAUCCGAGCGUUAUCCGGAUUUAUUGGGUUUAAAGGGUGCGCAGGCGGCCAUUUAAGUCAGCGGUUAAAUCGUGGGGCUCAACCCCAUUCUGCCGUUGAUACUGGGUGGCUUGAUUGCGGUCGAGGUUGGCGGAAUUCGUUGUGUAGCGGUGAAAUUCAUAGAUAUGACGAAGAACACCGAUUGCGUAGGCAGCUGACCAGACCGCAAAUGACGCUCAUGCACGAAAGUGCGGGGAUCGAACAGGAUUAGAUACCCUGGUAGUCCGCACAGUAAACGAUGAAUACUUGUUUUCGGCGAUAUAAUGUCGGAGGCAAAGCGAAAGCGAUAAGUAUUCCACCUGGGGAGUACGCCGGCAACGGUGAAACUCAAAGGAAUUGACGGGG